AUGUCGGCCAGGAACUGGCCUGACUCCCCUCAAGAUAGGCACCGGGGUGGCGGCCUCCAGACGGUCUACAUGGAUGAACUGCCCCAGCUGAAUGGUGUCGCUCAAUAUGAGAUCAUGCUGGUCCUCCGGCAGGGAAACGUAGGUCGCGUGCGAGGAAUCAGACACCUUGAGGUAGAACCCCUGGUUGGUGAAGAGGUCGCUGCCAGCAAGCGCGGGAACAAUGCUGACGACCUGAAGAAGGGAGGACCGGUGCUCGCCUGCGACUUUGACGUCGCUGUUCAUGUGCUGCAGGAGCUUGAGGAGGACCCCGGGCACAAGCGACGCCAUUGCCGUAGCUCCCAAAGCACAUCAGCUGCACAUGAUUCAGCACAACUCAGAAACGGCGAUCAUUGUCUUAUACAAGAAAAAAAAACAUGGAUGACUGGAGAGAAGUGGAACUGGAAAAAGCGAGAAAAUGGUGAUGAGUCACUGGCAGACAACCUGGGCUAUAUAUCCUACCAAAAGGGAAAGAAGGAUCUCUCCAACUACCAAAUGCAAUAA
rnacentral:rRNA from 1 species